rnacentral:rRNA from 1 species
CCCCUGUUUAUCAAAAACAUGGUCUUAUGAUUAUGAAUAUAAGAUUUGGCCUGCUCUAUGUUGAAUAAAUGGCCGCGGUAUAUUGACCGUGCGAAGGUAGCAUAAUAAUUAGGCUAUUAAUUGUGGUCUUGGAUGAAAGGUUGGACGAGGGAAAUACUUUUUUAUUUGCAUUGGUGAAUUUAAAUAAUUAGUAAAAAUGCUAAUAUGAUAUAAAAAGACGAGAAGACCCUGUUGAGUUUUAUAUUUAGAUUAAGUUUUUAUUAGAAGUUGCUUUAUUUUAUAAUAUUUGAUUGGGGCGAUUAGAUUAAUAAACAAUUUAUUAUUAUGAUUAUAAUUUUUUGAUCCAUUAUUAGUGAUUAAUAGAAUAAAUUACCAUAGGGAUAACAGCAUAAUUUGAUUGGAGAGUUCUUAUUGAUAUUCAAGUUUGUGACCUCGAUGUUGGAUUAAGAUUCCUUUUAGGUGCAGAUGCUUAAAUAGG